rnacentral:rRNA from 1 species
AGAGUUUGAUUCUGGCUCAGGACGAACGCUGGCGGCGUGCUUCAUACAUGCAGGUCGAACGAGAAUCUUACUUCGGUAAGAGGAAAGUGGCGGACGGGUGAGUAAUAUGUAGAGAAUCUGCCCUUAAGCGGGGGACAACAGUUGGAAACGACUGCUAAUACCCCAUAUGAGCGUACCUGAAAUGGUAUUCUUGAAAACUCCGGUGCUUAAGGAUGAGUCUGCAUCUGAUUAGCUAGUUGGGGGUGUAAUGGACCACCAAGGCGACGAUCAGUAGCUGGUUUGAGAGGAUGAUCAGCCACAAUGGGACUGAGACACGGCCCAUACUCCUACGGGAGGCAGCAGUAGGGAAUUUUGCGCAAUGGGCGAAAGCCUGACGCCAGCAACGCCGCGUGAACGAGAAGCCCUUCGGGGUGUAAAGUUCUGUCAGUAGGGACGAACAAUGACUGUACCUACAGAGGAAGCACCGGCUAACUCCGUGCCAGCAGCGGC